UCAAACACGAUGAACAGAAAGAAGUAAGUAAUCAUUGAUUUCAAGAGAGGUGGCGGAUGGUGAAAGCUGCUAAUUAAUGUUUACUGAAAUGCCUCUGGGAGUGGUCUUGGCGAGCGAAGAUGAAUAAAGUAAAUCAUUGUUUCUUAUUCUUCGGGUAGUUGAGGACGUAAAAGCGUACGUUACAGCUAGAGGUAAUCUGUUUGAUUAUAAAUAAAAGUGGGACCACGCCAACUAGCGUCUUUUGA
rnacentral:ncRNA from 1 species